rnacentral:rRNA from 1 species
AGACAAUAGAUACCCGGGUAGUCCACGCCCUAAACGAUGUCUACUAGUUGUUGGUGGAGUAAAAUCCAUGAGUAAACGCAGCUAAACGCGUGAAGUAGACCGCCUGGGGAGUACGGUCGCAAGAUUAAAACUCAAAUGAAUUGACGGGGGCCCGCACAAGCGGUGGAUUAUGUGGAUUAAUUCGAUGCAACGCGAAAACCUUACCUGGCCUUGACAUGUAACGAACUUUCCAGAGAUGGAUUGGUGCUCGAAAGAGAACGUUAACACAGGUGCUGCAUGGCUGUCGUCAGCUCGUGUCGUGAGAUGUUGGGUUAAGUCCCGCAACGAGCGCAACCCUUGCCAUUAAUUGCCAUCAUUUGGUUGGGCACUUUAAUGGGACUGCCGGUGACAAACCGGAGGAAGGUGGGGAUGACGUCAAGUCCUCAUGGCCCUUAUGGCCAGGGCUUCACACGUAAUACAAUGGUCGGUACAGAGGGUUGCCAACCCGCGAGGGGAGCCAAUCCCAGAAAGCCGAUCGUAGUCCGGAUUGUAGUCUGCAACUCGAC